rnacentral:rRNA from 1 species
UAAUAUGUACAUGCCUACAACAUAAAAUUAAUGCACGAGAUACAAUUAUAACUCCACAAAUAAGCAUGCUUGGGAUAGAGUAGUACUAGGAUGGAUAACAGCUCGGGAAGUCCCAGUGUUUUACAUUCC